AGCAGCCGCGGUAAUUCCAGCUCCAAUAGCGUAUAUUAAAGUUGUUGCAGUUAAAAAGCUCGUAGUUGAAUUUCGGGGUCAGUAGAUUGGUCAUGCCUCCGGUAUGCACUGGUCUUACUGGCUCCUCCUUCCUGAUGAACCGUAAUGCCAUUAAUUUGGUGUUGCGGGGAGACUGGACUGUUACUUUGAAAAAUUAGAGUGUUUAAAGCAGGCUAACGCUUGAAUACAUUAGCAUGGAAUAAUGAAAUAGGACGUUCGAUCUUAUUUUGUUGGUUUCUAAGAUUGACGUAAUGAUUAAUAGGGAUAGUUGGGGGCAUUAGUAUUCAAUUGUCAGAGGUGAAAUUCUUGGAUUUAUUGAAGACUAACUACUGCGAAAGCAUUUGCCAAGGAUGUUUUCAUUAAUCUAAGAACGAAAGUUAGGGGAAUCGAAGACGAUCAGAUACCGUCGUAGUCUUAACCAUAAACUAAU
rnacentral:rRNA from 1 species